UAGUGAUGCGAACAAUCUCUGAGAAAAUACUUGAAUCUCUCUCAUGCAUGAUAGAGAUUCUUAUCUGGCUUUUGUUUGAAACCAAGGAUCUCAUUACUCAACCU